UGUCAGGUGAAUUCUUUACCACUGAGCCACCAGGAAAGCCCCCAAUGGACUGUUACAAAGAUUAAUUAACACAUAAGAAAGCUCUUGUAAAGUUACUGGGCCAGGGCAAACACUAGGGAGCGAGUUCUCUGUCUUUGGAUGCCCCUCCAUGGAACCACUUUGUACUUCUCUGACCCAGCACUGCCUGGUCAAGAAAUUGACUAGUGUGUGACUUGUACUGUAGAGCUUACAAAGCACCGUCACAUAAUCGCUAAGGCCUCCCAACAAGGAAAUGACGUGUGCAUCAUCCCCACUUCAGGGUUGUGGGAAGUGAGGCUAAAGGUAUGAAGCACCACAUCUGAGAUGCAAGUGGGCCUUAAUAUGGAUCUUCCAAUGUUGGAGCCUAUAAUGUUCUUUCCAUUAAAUACCUUUCCACCAAUUUGUAACAGAGCUCUACAAACUUACACAUUUUAAAUUCCUUUUAUUACUUACUAUUAUUUCAGAAAUAAGGUUACCUUAUUUAACACUGUUAUUCUGGUUAUCAUUUGAAUGACUGCAUAAUACAACAUUUUACUGUAAUUUACUCAUCAGCGCCAGAUCAUCUCUCAUUUAGGCCAUUCUGGUGUUGCUAUGUUAGAAGCAAUGCUACUACAGCCUUUUGGGGCCAGAGAAAUUUUCUGCUCUGAAUUAUUUCCUUAGAGUGAAUUCACAAGAAUUGGAUUAGGGACUCAAUGAGCAUUUUUACGACUCUUGAUUCACCUUGGUAUUAUUGACCUUCAAAGGAACCAAACCUUUUUAUUAGUUAUCCAUCAAUGUAUGCAUUCUUUGUUUUGUUUAGUCAGUUCUCCAUUCAUCCAUCCAUCC